rnacentral:rRNA from 1 species
GACGAACGCUGGCGGCGUGCUUAACACAUGCAAGUCGAACGGAAAGUCCCUGCUUUUGUGGGGUGCUCGAGUUGCGAACGGGUGAGUAACACGUGAGUAACCUGCCCUUGACUUUGGGAUAACUUCAGGAAACUGGGGCUAAUACCGGAUAGGAGCUCCUGCUGCAGGGUGGGGGUUGGAAAGUUUCGGCGGUUGGGGAUGGACUCGCGGCUUAUCAGCUUGUUGGUGGGGUAGUGGCUUACCAAGGCUUUGACGGGUAGCCGGCCUGAGAGGGUGACCGGCCACAUUGGGACUGAGAUACGGCCCAGACUCCUACGGGAGGCAGCAGUGGGGAAUAGUGCACAAUGGGCGGAAGCCUAAUGCAGCACCGCCGCGUGCGGGAUGACGGCCUUCGGGUUGUAAACCGAUUUCGCCUGUGCCGAAGCGUGAGUGACGGUAAUGGGUAAAGAAGCACCGGCUAACUACGUG